GGAAGGGUACAGCUCAGUGGUAGAGCACAUGCCUAGCAUGCAUGCAGUCCUGGGUUCAAUCUCCAGUACCUCCA
rfam:Camelus ferus unplaced genomic scaffold scaffold623, whole genome shotgun sequence.